rnacentral:lncRNA from 1 species
AUGGACAAAUUUCGGGUGCCGAAACUCUUCCAAAUUAUGGGGCUCGAGGCCAUAAGAGAGUUCCGAAGACAUACGGAACUAGCAUUUAUAAAGUCGGGUGAUUUGAAGCUCAAACUCUCCAUGGAACUGACUUCAGUAGAAGAGGCUCUUCAAAAUCACGAAGAAGUUCUGACUCUCCUUAACGACAUGGAAAACCAGAUAAAAUGUCGGACCACUUUGAUGAAAAAGAACGCAGAAAUAUACCUAAAACUCGGAACUGAGCAGCCAGUAUCUCAGAUUUUGGACUCAAAUGUUAAACCCAGCUCACGUUCUGCCAUGCGCAUGGUGCGUGUGCGGUACAGCACGGAGGAUGAGGGCUUCAAAUCUUCCACUCAAGAAAUCGGAGAUGUCGAAGAUCUUGGAGACGCUUCAGAUGCAGAAGUGUCCUCGCAUUCAGUUGCAGAUUCGUCAGAUUCAGAAAUGUCCUCAAAACCAGACGCAGACCCCCCAGAUUCAGAAGUAUCCUUGAAUCCAGUCGGAGACCCUUCAGAUUCAGGAAUGCUCUUGGAUCCAGUCGGAGACAUUAAUUCAGGAGUGCGCUCGAAUUUAGUUGGAGACUCCCAAGAUUCAGAAAUGCCCUCAAAUUCAGUUGGAUACUCUCCAGAUUCAGAAAUGCCAUCGAAUUUAGUCGGAGACUCCCAAGACUUAGAAAUGCCCUCGAAUUUAGUCGGAGACUCCCCAGAUUCCCCAGAUCCAGAAAUGCCCUUGCAUUUAGUUGGAGACUCCCAAGACUCAGAAAUACCAUCGAAUUUAGUCGGAGACUCCCUAGAUUCAGAAAUGCCAUCGAACUUAGUCGGAGACUCCCCAGAUUCCCCAGAUCCAGAGAUGCCCUUGCAUUUAGUUGGAGACUCCCAAGACUCAGAAAUGCCCUCGAAUUUAGUCGGAGACUCUCCAGAUUCAGAAGUGUCCUCCAAUUCAGAUGGAGGCUCUUCAGAUUCAGAAAUGUCCUCAAAUCAGAUCAAAAAACGGAGGCACGAUAGCACGUCAUCCGGAGAGCAAACAGCAGUGCCCAGCGAGGCCUGGGAAUCGGAACCCGGAGCCGAGAAGACAACCAAAAUUAAAAAUACACCAAAAAAAGGAGACUUGAUCGAACUAGGGGAACCGCACCACUGA